AUUGAACGCUGGCGGCAUGCCUUACACAUGCAAGUCGAACGGCAGCACGGGUGCUUGCACCUGGUGGCGAGUGGCGAACGGGUGAGUAAUACAUCGGAACAUGUCCUGUGGUGGGGGAUAGCCCGGCGAAAGCCGGAUUAAUACCGCAUACGAUCUACGGAUGAAAGCGGGGGACCUUCGGGCCUCGCGCUAUAGGGUUGGCCGAUGGCUGAUUAGCUAGUUGGUGGGGUAAAGGCCUACCAAGGCGACGAUCAGUAGCUGGUCUGAGAGGACGACCAGCCACACUGGGACUGAGACACGGCCCAGACUCCUACGGGAGGCAGCAGUGGGGAAUUUUGGACAAUGGGCGAAAGCCUGAUCCAGCAAUGCCGCGUGUGUGAAGAAGGCCUUCGGGUCGUAAAGCACUUUUGUCCGGAAAGAAAUCCUUGGCCCUAAUACGGUCGGGGGAUGACGGUACCGGAAGAAUAAGCACCGGCUAACUACGUG
rnacentral:rRNA from 1 species